rfam:Myotis lucifugus cont2.16428, whole genome shotgun sequence.
AGAGGCCCUUUGUGGCUGCGGUGGAACGCUUGCCUCAUCACUGCGGUGACGAAGCAAGCAUUCCGCCAGGCCACUCACGUUGCCCAC